CUAAAUAAGCUAUUGGGUCCAUACCCCAAAAAUAUUGGUUAUACCCUUCCCGUACUAAUUAACCCUCUAGUCCAAUUUUCACCCGAACUUCUAGGUGAUCGAGACAACUAUACUUCAGCUAACCCUCUCAACACCCUGCCCCAUAUUAAACCAGAGUGGUAUUUCUUAUUUGCCUAUGCAAUCUUAUGAUCUAUCUCUAACAAAUGAGGGAGUGUAUAAGCUCUUGCAUCCUCCAUUCUCAUUCUAGCAAUUAUCCCUAUGCUUCACAUAUCUAAAUAACAAAGCAUAACAUUCAGACCAUUAAGCCAGUGCUUAUUCUGAAUCUCAGUGACUGAUGUAUUUACACUAACAUGAAUCAGGGGCAACCAGUUGAACAUCCUCUUAUCAUCAUUGGACAAACAGCAUCCAUUGUGUUCCUCUCUAUUAUCCUCACCUUUAUG
rnacentral:lncRNA from 1 species